CUAGCAUCACAAGUAUUAGAGGCA
rnacentral:piRNA from 1 species